CUGCCGAGUCUUUUCCUGUUUAGGGUCUUAUCCUGGCAUUGAGGGCGCCGGACUGGCGCUUUUGGCCGACUUGGCAUUGGGUGGGCGGCUUCUUGGGACCCACAUGAGCCAGUGGCAUCAUCCCCGCAGUGGCUGGGGCCGGAGACGCGACUUUUCAGGACGCUCCUCAGCCAAGAAGAAGGGCGGAAACCACAUCCCCGAAAGGUAGUGGAAAGACUAUCUCCCAGUUGGACAGCGGAUGCCUGGGACUCGUUUCAUUGCUUUCAAAGUUCCUUUGCAAAAGAGUUUUGAAAAGAAACUUGCUCCAGAAGAAUGCUUUUCCCCUUUGGAUCUUUUUAACAAAAUCCGAGAACAAAAUGAAGAACUUGGACUGAUUAUUGAUUUAACAUAUACUCAACGCUAUUAUAAACCAGAGGAUUUGCCAGAAACUGUUCCUUACUUAAAAAUUUUUACAGUUGGACAUCAAGUGCCUGAUGAUGAGACUAUUUUUAAAUUCAAACACGCUGUUAAUGGGUUUUUGAAAGAAAAUAAAGAUAAUGAUAAACUUAUUGGUGUCCACUGUACCCAUGGUUUAAACAGGACUGGCUACCUCAUUUGCAGUAUUCAAUAGGUGCCGGGGACAUUGCUUAGAAAGACAAAACUACAUUGAAGACCUUCAGAAUGGUCCUAUCAGAAAGAAUUGGAAUUCCAGUGUACCCAGGUCAAGUGAUUUUGAAGACUCAGCACAUCUCAUGCAACCAGUCCACAAUAAGCCUGUUAAACAAGGACCUAGGUAUAAUCUACAUCAGAUCCAGGGUCACUCAGCUCCUCGACAUUUCCACACCCAGACCCAAAGUUUGCAACAAUCAGUCAGAAAAUUUUCAGAGAAUCCACAUGUUUACCAGAGACACCAUCUCCCUCCUCCUGGUCCCCCUGGAGAGGACUAUUCACACAGGAGGUAUUCUUGGAAUGUGAAGCCCAAUGCCAGUCGGGCAGCCCAGGAUAGAAGAAGGUGGUAUCCUUAUAAUUACUCCAGACUCUCCUAUCCAGCCUGUUGGGAAUGGACCCAGUGAUACAAACCUGUCCUGGAAUUCUACCUGGAGACCAGAGCUGGCCUGAAAAUUACUGGUGUGACUUUUAAUUAGUUCAGGUCUAAUCAGGUUUCUUUAUUGUUCCCUUAUGUAUUCAAGCUUAAGGAAAAAUUGCAUUGCUGUUUACCUCUUUGCUGAUAAAUUUGCAGUAAUUACAGCAUUGCAGGAAAAACAAUCUGUUAUUCCAGUCUUAAAUUUUUCUAAAAGAAGACAAUAUUUUAGAACUGAAGCAUUGAGAACUUCCCUUGCAAAUUAUUUUUAAAAUUCUAUCUUGUUUUUCUAUGUAUUUCUUUCUGACUAGACUUGUGAUAUGCGUGUGUUUAUGUACAGAAAUUUUUAGUGUUUUUGUUAUGUUCUGUUAUUGACCCAAAGGCCAUCUUUAUUUUCUAUAACUGUUCAAAAUUUAUAUUAAAAUCUACUUAGGAGAUAAUUUCUUUAGAACCUAGUUACUACCUGUAAUUAAUUGUGGUAUUUUUGUGAUUAGAUAUUACUUUCUUUGGCAGUCAGUUGUGGGAUUUGACCAACUUCCUUUGACUGAAUUGUCAGAUAUACGGUCUCACACAGGAAUGGAUGAACUUUUAGGGAUUGUCAAUUGAGCAAGAGAGACUGACUGAUAAACCAGAUUGCUGGUUUAUUCAAUUAUAGUGAGUAAGUUACCUGGCAGGGUAAUUGCCAUCAACUGAGUAGAACUAUCCAGAAAACUUGAAAACUUUUAUAAAGGUGAUAAAC
rnacentral:misc_RNA from 1 species